rnacentral:rRNA from 1 species
UGCCAGCCGCCGCGGUAAUACGAAGGGUGCUAGCGUUGUUCGGAAUCACUGGGCGUAAAGCGCGUGUAGGCUGUCUUGCAAGUCGGGUGUGAAAGCCCAGGGCUCAACCCUGGAAGUGCACUCGAAACUGCAAGACUUGAGUCUCGGAGAGGGAGGCGGAAUUCUGGGUGUAGAGGUGAAAUUCGUAGAUAUCCAGAGGAACACCGGUGGCGAAGGCGGCCUCCUGGACGAGUACUGACGCUGAGACGCGAAAGCGUGGGGAGCAAACAGGAUUAGAUA